rnacentral:rRNA from 1 species
AUUGAACGCUGGCGGCAUGCCUUACACAUGCAAGUCGAACGGCAGCACGGGGCAACCUGGUGGCGAGUGGCGAACGGGUGAGUAAUGCAUCGGAACGUACCUUUCAGUGGGGGAUAACGUAGCGAAAGUUACGCUAAUACCGCAUAUUCUGUGAGCAGGAAAGCAGGGGAUCGCAAGACCUUGCGCUGAUUGAGCGGCCGAAGUAAGAUUAGCGAGUGGGUGAGGUAAAGGCUCACCAAGGCAACGAUCUGGAGCGGGUCUGAGAGGAUGAUCCGCCACAGUGGAGCUGAGACACGGGCCAGAAUCCUACGGGAGGCAGCAGUGGGGAAUUUUGGACAAUGGGGGCAACCCUGAUCCAGCCAUGCCGCGUGAGUGAAGAAGGCCUUCGGGUUGUAAAGCUCUUUCGACCGGGACGAACACCCCUUGGCUAAUAUCCAAGGAUCUGACGGUACCGGGAGAAGAAGCACCGGCUAACUCUGUGCCAGCCGCCGCCGUAAGAC